rnacentral:lncRNA from 1 species
AGCAUCUCAAAACUUAAUCCUUUCUAUUUACCACACGUAGUAAGUUCUUUUGAUCUCCUUCAAAAGAAUUCCGAACUCCCAACCUUGGAUUAAAAUGCCAUAAUUAUAUCCCAAAGAAAUUAAUUUCUCUUGAUUCUACAUAGAGAUCAUAAUUGGCUUAAUAGAAAUAGGAGAAAUCUUUAGUAUCUGUGGAGUGAUUGAUUAUAACCCUAUUUGAUUUUGAUGAGCUCAAAGCAUUUGAGUAUAUCUUUUGCUUACUAAUGAAUUCAAUCUAGUGUUUCAGUGAAAAUCUUGUAAAUUUAUGGUUAAGUAUCUCUAGAUUUGGUUCAAGACAUUUUGGAUAAGUUAAGAAGUCAACUUGAACCAAAGUCUGAGACUCGAGUCGACUCCGGGAUUUUACGAGUCGACUCCAAGCGUAUCAGAAGCAUUGGCACAGGCGCGAGUCGACUCCGGAACAUUAAGAGUCGACUCCGACUGAGAACAGACAGACGAACAGAAAGACCCAACUCACAACCUGUCAGCGAGUCGACUCCUGAAGAGCGCGAGUCGACUCCGAUGCUUGCCGAGUCGACUCCAGAGUAGUAUGAGACGACUCCAGGGAGUUACAGACAGAAAGAAAGAGAAGUCAUUUUGGACCCUGAGAGCCGAGUCGACUCCUGAGGAACGCGAGUCGACUCCGAUGGUUGGCAGGUCGACUCCAAAGG